AGUGAACGCUGGCGGUAGGCCUAACACAUGCAAGUCGAACGGCAGCACAGUAAGAGCUUGCUCUUACGGGUGGCGAGUGGCGGACGGGUGAGGAAUACAUCGGAAUCUACUUUUUCGUGGGGGAUAACGUAGGGGAUCUUACGCUAAUACCGCAUACGACCUACGGGUGAAAGCAGGGGAUCUUCGGACCUUGCGCGAUUGAAUGAGCCGAUGUCGGAUUAGCUAGUUGGCGGGGUAAAGGCCCACCAAGGCGACGAUCCGUAGCUGGUCUGAGAGGAUGAUCAGCCACACUGGAACUGAGACACGGUCCAGACUCCUACGGGAGGCAGCAGUGGGGAAUAUUGGACAAUGGGCGCAAGCCUGAUCCAGCCAUACCGCGUGGGUGAAGAAGGCCUUCGGGUUGUAAAGCCCUUUUGUUGGGAAAGAAAAGCAGCAGGUUAAUACCCCGCUGUUCUGACGGUACCCAAAGAAUAAGCACCGGCUAACUUCGUG
rnacentral:rRNA from 1 species